AUACAAAUAAAGCAGCUCAUCUUUAUAGGAGUAGUUCUUUCUGUAGCCUUUUCUCUAACAACCGGAACAUUAUAAUUUUUCUCCUCAAGCACUGUCAGUGAAUAUACAUCCUU